rnacentral:rRNA from 1 species
UACGUAGGGUGCGAGCGUUGUCCGGAAUUAUUGGGCGUAAAGGGCUCGUAGGCGGUUUGUUGCGUCGGCUGUGAAAUCCCGAGGCUCAACCUCGGGUCUGCAGUCGAUACGAGCAAACUAGAGUGUUGCAGGGGAGACUGGAAUUCCUGGUGUAGCGGUGAAAUGCGCAGAUAUCAGGAAGAACACCCGUGGCGAAGGCGGUUCUCUGGAACGCAACUGACGCUGAGACGCGAAAGCGUGGGGAGCAAACAGG